UACGUAGGGUGCGAGCGUUGUCCGGAAUUAUUGGGCGUAAAGAGCUCGUAGGCGGUCUGUCGCGUCGAUCGUGAAAACUUGAGGCUCAACCUCAAGCUGUCAUCGGAUACUGUCGGGCUUGAGUCUGGAAGAGGAGAGUGGAAUUCCUGGUGUAGCGGUGGAAUGCGCAGAUAUCAGGAGGAACACCUAUGGCGAAGGCAGCUCUCUGGUACAUGACUGACGCUGAGACGCGAAAGCGUGGGUAGCAAACAGG
rnacentral:rRNA from 1 species